rnacentral:rRNA from 1 species
GAUUGCGACUAAGCCAUGCUAGUCCAGGGGGUUUUCGGACCACCGGCGCAUCGCUCAGUAACACGUUGUUAACUUGCCCUUAGGUUUGGGAUAGCUUUGGGAAACUGAAGGUAAACCCGGAUAGGCGAAUCGUUCUGGAAAGAAUUUUCGUUCAAAAGCAAUGCCUAAGGAUAGGACAGCGGUCGAUUAGGUUGAUGGUGGGGUAACGGCCCACCAUGCCGAUGAUCGGUAGGGGCCUUGGAAGAGGGAGCCCCGAGAAGGGAACUGAGAUAUUUUCCCUAGCCCUACGGGGUGCGGCAGGCGCGAAACCUUUACAAUGCACGAAAGUGUGAUAAGGGCAAUCCACGUGCUCAUACACAGUAUGGGCUUUUGAUAAGUGUAAAUAGCUUGCCGAAUAAGGGGUGGGUAAGACUGGUGCCAGCCGCCGCGGUAACACCAGCGCCCCGAGUGGGAGCCGUUUUUAUUGGGCCUAAAGCGUCCGUAGCAGGUCGAGCAAAUCUUUCGUGAAAUUGUUCAGCUUAACUGAACAGCGUGCGGGAGACACUACUUAACUAGGGACCGGGAGGAGUGAAAGGUAUUUCGGGGGGAGCGGUAAAAUGCUAUAAUCCUCGAAGGACCACCGAUGGCGAAGGCAUUUCACCAGAACGGAUCCGACUGUGAGGGACGAAAGCUAGGGGAGCGAACCGGAUUAGAUACCCGGGUAGUCCUGGCCGUAAACGCUGCGAGCUAGAUGUUGCGUAAACCUCGAGUUUGCGCAGUAUCGAAGCGAAGGCGAUAAGCUCGCCGCCUGGGAAGUAUGGUCGCAAGGCUGAAACUUAAAGGAAUAGGCGGGGGAGCACUACAAGGGGUGCGGCGUGCGGUUUAAUCUAACUUUACACAGAGAAUCUCACCAGGAGCGACGGCAGGAUGAAAGUCAGACUAAAGGUUUUACUUGACGAGCCGAGAGGUGGUGCAUGGCGGCCGUCAGCUCGUGCCGUAAGGGUCCAGUUAAGUCUGGUAACGAGCGAGACCUGUGCUUACAAUUGCCAGCAUGUGCUU